AAACCAACAGGGAUUGCCCUAGUAACGGCGAGUGAACAGGCAAGAGCUCAGAUUUGAAAGCCUUUUUGGCAUUGUAUUCUGAAGUCAGUUUCCUGAGUAUCGGUGUUUAAGUCUUCUGGAAAGGAGCGCCAUGGAGGGUGAUAGCCCCGUACGACACCUCACUCAUUGUAGGAUUCUGACGUGGAGUCGAGUUGUUUGGGAAUGCAGCUCAAAAGGGUGGUAUGCUCCAUCUAAAGCUAAAUAUCUGUGAGAGACCGAUAGCGAACAAGUACUGUGAAGGAAAGAUGAAAAGAACUUUGAAAAGAGAGUGAAAAAGUACGUGAAAUUGUUGAAAUGGAAGGAUAUGCCGCUAACAAUGUAGAGCCGUGUUUGGGGGGAAGACAAAAGCUGAAGAAUGUAUCUCUUUUAGGGAAUUAUAACUUCAGUCAAUAUUCCCAUCCGGGCGCGAGGACCUCAGGCUCUACUAAAUGGUGGUCUAUCACCCGUCUUGAAACACGGACCA
rnacentral:rRNA from 1 species